rnacentral:rRNA from 1 species
GACGAACGCUGGCGGCGUGCCUAAUACAUGCAAGUCGAGCGGACUGAAUGGGAGCUUGCUCUUGUUCGGUCAGCGGCGGACGGGUGAGUAACACGUGGGCAACCUGCCCGCAAGACCGGGAUAACUCCGGGAAACCGGAGCUAAUACCGGAUAACACCGAAGACCGCAUGGUCUUUGGUUGAAAGGCGGCGCAAGCUGCCACUUGCGGAUGGGCCCGCGGCGCAUUGGCUAGUUGGUGAGGUAACGGCUCACCAAGGCGACGAUGCGUAGCCGGCCUGAGGGGGUGACCGGCCAAACUGGGACUGAGACACGGCCCAGACUCCUACGGGAGGCAGCAGUAGGGAAUCUUCCGCAAUGGGCGAAAGCCUGACGGAGCGACGCCGCGUGAGCGAAGAAGGCCUUCGGGUCGUAAAGCUCUGUUGUGAGGGACGAAGGAGCGCCGUUUGAAGAAGGCGGCGCGGUGACGGUACCUCACGAGGAAGCCCCGGCUAACUACGUG